GAACUACUCCCUUCGUCCGAAAAUACUUGUCAUCAAAAUGGAUAAAAAGAGAUGUAUCUAGAACUAAAAUACGUCCAGAUACAUCCCCUUUUAUCCAUUUUGAUGACAAGUAUAUUUCCGGACGGAGGGAGUACAUG
rfam:Triticum urartu cultivar G1812 contig1239332, whole genome shotgun sequence.